rnacentral:rRNA from 1 species
UAGCUAGUUGGUGAGGUAACGGCCCACCAAGGCGACGAUCGGUAGCCGGACUGAGAGGUUGAACGGCCACAUUGGGACUGAGACACGGCCCAGACUCCUACGGGAGGCAGCAGUGGGGAAUAUUGCACAAUGGGGGAAACCCUGAUGCAGCGACGCCGCGUGGAGGAAGAAGGUCUUCGGAUUGUAAACUCCUGUUGUUGAGGAAGAUAAUGACGGUACUCAACAAGGAAGUGACGGCUAACUACGUGCCAGCAGCCGCGGUAAAACGUAGGUCACAAGCGUUGUCCGGAAUUACUGGGUGUAAAGGGAGCGCAGGCGGGCGAUCAAGUUGGAAGUGAAAUCCAUGGGCUCAACCCAUGAACUGCUUUCAAAACUGGUCGUCUUGAGUAGUGCAGAGGUAGGCGGAAUUCCCGGUGUAGCGGUGGAAUGCGUAGAUAUCGGGAGGAACACCAGUGGCGAAGGCGGCCUACUGGGCACCAACUGACGCUGAGGCUCGAAAGUGUGGGUAGCAAACAGGAUUAGAUACCCUGGUAGUCCACACCGUAAACGAUGAUUACUAGGUGUUGGGAGAUUGACCCUCUCAGUGCCGCAGUUAACACAAUAAGUAAUCCACCUGGGGAGUACGACCGCAAGGUUGAAACUCAAAGGAAUUGACGGGGGCCCGCACAAGCAGUGGAGUAUGUGGUUUAAUUCGACGCAACGCGAAGAACCUUACCAAGUCUUGACAUCCCUUGACGAUGCUGGAAACAGUAUUUCUCUUCGGAGCAAGGAGACAGGUGGUGCAUGGUUGUCGUCAGCUCGUGUCGUGAGAUGUUGGGUCAAGUCCCGCAACGAGCGCAACCCUUAUGGUCAGUUACUACGCAAGAGGACUCUGGCCAGACUGCCGUUGACAAAACGGAGGAAGGUGGGGAUGACGUCAAAUCAUCAUGCCCUUUAUGACUUGGGCUACACACGUACUACAAUGGCGUUAAACAAAGAGAAGCAAGACCGCGAGGUGGAGCAAAACUCAGAAACAACGUCCCAGUUCGGACUGCAGGCUGCAACUCGCCUGCACGAAGUCGGAAUUGCUAGUAAUCGUGGAUCAGCAUGCCACGGUGAAUACGUUCCCGGGCCUUGUACACACCGCCCGUCACACCAUGAGAGCCGGGGGGACCCGAAGUCGGUAGUCUAACCGCAAGGAGGACGCCGCCGAAGGUAAAACUGGUGAUUGGGGUGAAGUCGUAACAAGGUAGCCGUACUAGUACGUUGGGAG